rnacentral:rRNA from 1 species
ACUUAAAUUGAAGAGUUUGAUCAUGGCUCAGAUUGAACGCUGGCGGCAGGCCUAACACAUGCAAGUCGAGCGGUAGCACAGAGAGCUUGCUCUCGGGUGACGAGCGGCGGACGGGUGAGUAAUGUCUGGGAAACUGCCUGAUGGAGGGGGAUAACUACUGGAAACGGUAGCUAAUACCGCAUAAUGUCGCAAGACCAAAGUGGGGGACCUUCGGGCCUCAUGCCAUCAGAUGUGCCCAGAUGGGAUUAGCUAGUAGGUGGGGUAACGGCUCACCUA